rnacentral:rRNA from 1 species
UACAGAGGGUGCUAGCGUUGUUCGGAAUCAUUGGGCGUAAAGGGCGUGUAGGCGGUUUGUUAAGUCAUGUGUGAAAUCCCUCGGCUCAACCGGGGAACGACGCAUGAAACUGGCAAGCUAGAGUACCAAAGAGGGGGGUGGAAUUCCCGGUGUAGCGGUGAAAUGCGCAGAUAUCAGGAGGAACACCGAUGGCGAAGGCAGGUCUCUGGGCAUUAACUGACGCUGAGGAGCGAAAGCAUGGGGAGCGAACAGG